GGAGAUCAAUGGAGGAGGGGAAAACCCUUGACGGCGUCUGGUGAUCAGAUUUUUCCAGGGGCUGCAACUAAGACAGUUAGAAGUGCUACAGGAGAGUGUGGCAGAAAGCAGUUGGAUUCUAUCGAAGAUGAGCAAAAAGUUAAGGAAGGUCUGCCAGAACGCAAUAAAGACAAGAAAAAGAAGGGGGAGGCAGACAUUGGGAGGAUGGAGGGAAGUCCUUAUGAUAGAUGAGAGAGACUUCUGCCACAAAAGAAAGAGUCAUGCAAACACCUACUGCCUGAGAUGAGGGAAAAAAAAAACUCUUCAAACAUGUCUGGCCAUAAGAGAUCUUGAAACCCCACUGUCUGCACAAAACAAACAAAAGAAAAUGACCUGCAGUUUUAUGUUCAUUGUGCUUAAA